UUGACCUCAAAUCAGGUAGGACUACCCGCUGAACUUAAGCAUAUCAAUAAGCGGAGGAAAAGAAACUAACAAGGAUUCCCCUAGUAACUGCGAGUGAACCGGGAAAAGCUCAAAUUUUGAAUCUGGCAGUCCUUUGAGGUUGUCCGAAUUGUAAUCUAGAGAAGUGUUUUCCGCGCUGGACCGUGUAUAAGUUUCCUGGAAAGGAACGUCAUAGAGGGUGAAAAUCCCGUCUUUGACACGGACACCCAGGGCUAUGUGAUGCACUCUCGACGAGUCGAGUUGUUUGGGAAUGCAGCUCAAAUAGGGUGGUAAAUUCCAUCUAAAGCUAAAUAUAGGCGAGAGACCGAUAGCGAACAAGUACCGUGAGGGAAAGAUGCAAAGAACUUUGGAAAGAGAGUUAAACAGUACGUGAAAUUGCUGAAAGGGAAACGCUUGAUGUCAGUCGCGUUGGCUGGGGAUCAGUCUUGCUUUUAGUGAGGCGUACUUCCUAGUCGACGGGUCAGCAUCAGUUUUGAUUGUCGGAAAAGGACUUGAGGAAUGUGGCACUCUCUUAACAGGGGGUGUGUUAUAGACUCUUGUCUUGAAUACGAUGGUUGGGACUGAGGAAACCGCAGCACGGCCUUUAUGGUUUUCGGGGCUUAGGCUCACGUUUAGCGUGCUUAGGAUGCUGGCAUAAUGGCCUUAAGCGACCCGUCUU
rnacentral:rRNA from 1 species